CAGGACAAGUACAGCACAGGGAACAAAGAAUGUCAGUUUUCCCACACCACCCUAUCUGUGGCCUCAACCCUGUCCUGGAGGGAACACCUCUAGA
rnacentral:sRNA from 1 species